UACGCAGGGGGCUAGCGUUGCUCGGAAUCACUGGGCGUAAAGCGCACGUAGGCGGCUUGUUAAGUCAGGGGUGAAAUCCUGGAGCUCAACUCCAGAACUGCCUUUGAUACUGGCGAGCUUGAGUUCGGGAGAGGUGAGUGGAACUGCGAGUGUAGAGGUGAAAUUCGUAGAUAUUCGCAAGAACACCAGUGGCGAAGGCGGCUCACUGGCCCGAUACUGACGCUGAGGUGCGAAAGCGUGGGGAGCAAACAGG
rnacentral:rRNA from 1 species